AGGGCUUCAAAUUCGUAUUCAACAUGCACUGAAGUCGGUUUUGUGUGUGUUUUUUCUCAAGUGAAGCCGAGAAUGAGGUUCUCCUCGCUAUCUAAUGCCAUAUAUAAGUGUGGUAUUUGGACGUCGGAGAACUAAAUUA